rnacentral:antisense_RNA from 1 species
GCUACAUAUUCUGCAAAACCACCAGGAUGUUUCGCUCCAACAACUGUUAAGUUUAAACAACGGGCAUAUUCUGAUUUUUUACAAUAGUAACAUUCCUCUACCUCUAAAUCCUCGCAAACUAAUGCUGGGCA